AUCCUUUUGUAGUUCAUAAGCAUGAUGAUUGGGUUUUCACGCGCAUGCGUGAGAUGUGCCUCCCACAAAUCUUGUUACGACGCCGGCACAUUACCCGUCUGACU
rnacentral:snoRNA from 1 species